UUUUGGAAAAAGCGGUCGAAAAAUGGAGUACCGGUUGUCUGCCUUGGUGUAAAAGAUGGAUUAAUAAAUACGUGUUCCGUUAUAAGAAGAUAUUGGGAAUACAUGAGCACAAUAUGAGUGCCUGUUUCCAGAAGCAUGUUGGUAAACAAGGCAAAAGGAAGAAAGCCGAGGACUCGGACUCUGAUGUAGCAGCUCCUACAGCGUCCACACAUACAGAUGAGGUGGUCAUAUCUGAUGACUCAAAUGGACAUGGCAGGACAGACAGGUUAAAGAAACGAAGAAAACGCAUCGAACAUGAAGUUAAAGAUGAGGAACUGGAAAAAGCCGAACAUUUGAUUCAAAAUGAUUUCGGCAUUCCAGUGGAUGCAGGAAUGUCCCGACAGGAAGUUAUUGAACUGGCUAUGGUUCUCCUUCAAUCCAGGGAAGAUCGAGCCCAGUCACCUGAUGCUGUCAAAGCAAGGUCUCCUAAACAAUAUUCAACAUCUCAAACUAGAAGAAGCACGUCAGAUGAAGAUUCAUUAGAUUUGGACAUCCCAAGCUCAUCAAGAGGAGAAGGAAAGAAGUCUCCCAUUCUUAACAAGGUCCAAUUUUCCAAAGUAGAUACUAACAACAAGAAGAGCAGCAAGUCUCCUGAACCAAGUACAUCCUUUGCAGACGAGGAUGGUAUAGGUCUAUCUGUGAAGAGGACUUCCAGAAGGAAAGCCUCUGCAGAAGUAGAGGCGGAAGCAUACAAAGAUGAUCCUGGAGACAGCUCGCCUGAUGAGGUGAUGUUCAGGGGAGGAAGCAGAGAUGCUGGGGAUGAUGAUGAGAGGGAACCACCUAGCACUAGGAAUCAAAGGAAGAUUGCUUCAGAGAAGCGACAGAGAAAGCGAAGACUUACUGAUGAGGCUGCUGGUGAUGAGAGUCCCAGCUCCCAGGAGGCAGACAGCGCUAACACCAGGCUGAAGAAGUCCCGCAAUCUGCAACUGAACAAGCAGCAGCUGGAGACGAUGCAGGCAAAGACGUCCACGCUACUGAAGAAGUCAGCAGCCAAGGUCAAGUUCUCUCAGGAAACUGCUGGCUCAAGUGGUAGCCAGCCCAACCAGGUGAUGGAAGAUGAUAUAGAUGAAACUCAGGCCCCGGGCUCACAGGAGUUGUUUGAAGGAGAGACUAUCCCCAUGGAUUUACCUGGAACACCAGUCUCAGAUGAAGAGGCAGACCAACACAAGGGCAAGCCAAGGGCCUUGAGGAGUGCAGGAAAGAAAGGCACAGUUGCAGAAAAUGAUUCUCAUUUGUCCCCCCUGAUUCCCAUGAAACGCAGAUACUCAAAAGCUGCGUUACUCAGGAGAUCGCAGGAAAAUGACAUUUCCAAGAGAAGCUUCUUUGCUCCUGUCUCUGCUGACCACAUAUCCUACACUAAAGUCAUCAUCCAGCUGUUUGAUAUUUAUUUCCGUAAACUGAGCAAGGAGCAGGUGAAGGCAGACUCGUAUAUUGAAUGGGGAGAAUCAGUUAAGCCUGGCAGACAUAUGACCCGUACAAUUGAUGCCAAAGGCCGUGGACAGAAAUCUUAUUCUUGGAGUUCGGAGUCCGAUGAAGAAGUUACCAUUCGUUUAGACAAAUCUUCCGACGAGGGAGUUGAGAGCGGUGAAGGUCGUUUAAGAACGAAGUCACGGACAGGAGAAAGAUCAUUACGAGCAACUAAAUCUCGGAAGGUAGUCCACAAUAGUAAUUCUCCUGAUAGUCCGAAGAGCUCUGAGACAGAUGUGAAUGAACAUAAACGUAUACAGCCACGGCGGAUCAUCCCAACACGAAGAGAUCCUCUAGAUGCAUCAAACGAGGACGAGGAGAGUCUUCCAGAUAUUGGAAUCAGUUCAAGUGACAAACCCCCUGAAGCAGGCCAGUGUCGUUACAGUGAGGACACUCAGACAGACUCACCAGUCUACCCAACACUUGUACCCCAGACACUAGCCAUGGAGGAGGACCUCUAUAUGGCUGACACAGAAACAUUUGAGCCAGAGCUGACUGAAGUUCAAAGCAGGGACUCGGACAGUCCCAUGGAAAUUCAACCAAGGAAGACCAUAGUGAACAGCCCAACUGAGAUCCAGAAAAGGAGGACAAUAAAAAGACCGGAUGAUGUGAAAGAAAGUGACAAUUCUGAUCUUGCCACAGAAAUUCUGCGAAGGAGGUCGUUAAGAAAAUCUAGUCCAUCAACCGUGACCUGCUCUCAGGAUACGAGAAGGGACAGUGUCAGCCUCAGCCCCAAACUUCCUGGAAGUCAGGCAAGUAGUGGGAGUAGAGAGUCAGGUUCUUUAAUUAACUCUCAAGGGGAAAUUAAAUCUUUCCAAAAAGCAAGGCCAGGGAAGACAGGCACUUUUAAUUUUGACAUAGAUGAAGAGGAUUCCAAAGAUUCAGAUGUUGGAGGUUUUGUUACCAAGAGAAAGCCUCCAGUGAGCCCCAGGCAAGUUGUUGGUAGUUCCCUGUCAGUGUCUGAGAGAAGAACUCAAAGGGACGUACAGGACAAAUCUGUCAGAGGUAAGGAAGAACCUACAAUAGACAUUGUGUCAUCGGAUUCCGAUGAAGGGUCCCCCGGAAAGGAGAGACUUGCCUCUCCACAUGAAAGCCCUAUUCUCUCUGUACGGAGAAGCGGACACACAUUCACUAGGAAGAAGCGUUCAAGCAUGACAACCACCAGGCAAGAAGCUACUUUGGAUGAGUUCUUCGGUAAAGACAAUUCUGAUUUUGUAACAAACAGGAUUGGAUUAAAAGUGAGGAAUUUGAGUCCUGAUUCUAAACAGCCUCCAAGGGCUUCAACAUCAAAGGACAGAAUCAUUCCGAUAAUUUUAACAGACACUUAUGAAAAGGAAUCCACUUCUGCUGAUAGUUCUCCAGUAAAAGCGAAGAGCUUGAGGAGUGAGUUGCACUUUGCUGACUCCGACGAUUCUGGGGAUGUAGUUCAGUCAGGACCAGAGCUGGACACAGAAGGAAAGAUCCAGUGCCCAAUGUGUUCAAAGCUGUUCCGAGUUAACCUGAUAGAGCGGCACGCCUCGGACUGCCUGGGUCAGCAGGAGGUGACGUCUACUACAGGAGAUGAUGGAAACCUGCAAGCUUCUACAUCCACAAGAUCUAGGCAUCAGGAAAGUGACAAGGGAGACUACUCUGGCAGGACCAGAAUUGCUAAGGAACAAGGUGAUGUUGUAGAAGAGCCAAUACCAAUCAGAGUUAAGCCAAUUCUGCAAAGUCAGCAUAUGGAACAGUGCUGUGUUUGUAACAUGCUGGUGAGACAAGACCUCAUCGAGAAACACACAGAGCAGUGUAUAGCAGACAGAAUGCAGCAAGCAGAGAGAGGAGAUCAGGAUGUGCUUGACCUUGAACUUGAAGCUGAUGAGCCAGAUCGUAGAGCCACCCGGUCUAGAGGACGAGGGCACCAAACUCCGUCAGGGAUGCGACCAAACAUGUAAGAAGACAUUUGAUUUAUUUGCCAAUUUUGAUAGCAACAACAAGCCUUAUUCCAAAGCAUCGCCUUUUGGACGAGGAAGCAGAUUCUCUGUCCAGUGAGACGUCCGACAACCAUGACCCCGACUGGACAGCAGCGUCCACAACAACGGAGGUGGAGUCGGAAUCA
rnacentral:misc_RNA from 1 species